UGGAAUCGCUAGUAAUCNCGGAUCAGCACGCCGCGGUGAAUACGUUCCCGGGCCUUGUACACACCGCCCGUCACACCAUGAGAGUCUGUAACACCCAAAGCCGGUGGGAUAACCUUUAUAGGAGUCAGCCGUCUAAGGUAGGACAGAUGAUUAGGGUGAAGUCGUAACAAGGUAUC
rnacentral:rRNA from 1 species